CAGAGUCUCCCCUGUACGUCCAAGGCGUCACAAUCCAAACAAUGCAAUACACAAGGUUCCAACCAGGAACAGUAUUCAAACAAGGAUUGCAAAAGAAAGUAUCAAAAACAUAAAUACAACGCUAUUACAAGCAUUCAACUCACAUACAUUUACAUAUUAUAUUCUUAACUCUUUUUAGCUUCCAAAUACAAUCCAAAUUAUUACAAUUAUUACAACAUUGUUCUUUUCAUUUCUUUC
rnacentral:lncRNA from 1 species